AGCUUCAGUAGCGUAUAUUAAAGUUGUUGCAGUUAAAAAGCUCGUAGUCGAAUUUCUGGCGAGAGGAUCCGGUCCGACCUUUUGGUGGGUUCUUGGGUCUCUUCCGCCAUCCUUGAGUGGUCCGUUCUGGCAUUAGGUUGUCGGAGCGUCAGCCGCUCAUCGUUUACUGUGAGAAAAUUAGAGUGUUCAAAGCAGGCUUAUGCCGUUGAAUAUAUUAGCAUGGAAUAAUAAGAUAGGACCUCGGUACUAUUUUGUUGGUUUGCGCACCAAGGUAAUGAUGAACAGGGACAGUUGGGGGUAUUUGUAUUUCGUUGUCAGAGGUGAAAUUCUUAGAUUUACGAAAGACAAACUACUGCGAAAGCAUUUACCAAGGAUGUUUUCA
rnacentral:rRNA from 1 species